UGACAAUUAAAAUCAGUUAAUUAACUAAAAGAUAGAAAACAAGUAGAAAACCAAAUUGAAAGGAAAUAUGUGUCGGUGUGUCUCCUCCUGUGAUAAAGCUCCAUAUGUACCACUGAAAACAGUUAAAUUAGUUUGAAUCAGAAAUCAGGGCUCAAACUACUUGUUCUGAGACCAUUUCUUCAUUUUUCACACCAAACUGUUUGUAGCUGUCGCAUUGAAAUGUAAUUAUUAUGUGAUUGCAAUGUUCAACAUUUGGUGUUUAAUCUGGAUUCAUGUUGUGUUGUCGCCACCUACUGGUGGGCCUGAGUGUGACGCUUUGUGGUGUGCGUGCUUUGGGGUGAUGCUCAAUUAAGCGCACAUGUCACCAGAGACUGAAGGCUCGAGCCAGAAAGAGAAUGCUAGCCUGUGUAAAGGGUGGAAAUAUAGAAGAUAUGGACUACAAUUGCUCAUGAAUGUUCAGUAGAAAGGCGCACACGUUUUUCACGGUGUUUGCUGGUGAAAAGAAGAUUAAAAUACUGGCUGAACAUCA